UGAGCUAGCAGGUCUCUUCCUGUCACUACAGACAGUCAGUAGUUGGUCUAGCGUGACGAGGAAUUCUCAGAUCACCUCUUGGCUGUGAGUGGUGGAGAGAGCACUGGCCCGGUACAAUGG
rnacentral:pre_miRNA from 12 species